rnacentral:antisense_RNA from 1 species
UUCAAUGGUGAUUCAGACGGGGGAGGCUUCGGCCUCGCCGGUUAGUAUGCACCGGUACUGCGAACCCCGUCUGGAUUGCCACCAUC